GAUGAACGCUGGCGGCGUGCUUAACACAUGCAAGUCGAGCGAGAAAAGUUCUUCGGAGCUUUUCUAGCGGCGGACGGGUGAGUAACACGUGGGUAACCUGCCUCAUAGAGGGGAAUAGCCUUCCGAAAGGAAGAUUAAUACCGCAUAACAUUGUUGAAAGGCAUCUUUUAACAAUCAAAGGAGCAAUCCGCUAUGAGAUGGGCCCGCGGCGCAUUAGCUAGUUGGUGAGGUAACGGCUCACCAAGGCGACGGUGCGUAGCCGACCUGAGAGGGUGAUCGGCCACAUUGGAACUGAGACACGGUCCAGACUCCUACGGGGGGCAGCAGUGGGGAAUAUUGCACAAUGGGGGAAACCCUGAUGCAGCAACGCCGCGUGAGUGAUGAAGGUCUUCGGAUUGUAAAGCUCUGUCUUUAGGGACGAUAAUGACAGUACCUAAGGAGGAAGCCACGGCUAACUACGUGCCAGCCGCCGCAGUAACAC
rnacentral:rRNA from 1 species